rnacentral:rRNA from 1 species
UGCGUAGGCGGACCUUUAAGUCAGUGGUGAAAGUUUGCGGCUCAACCGUAAAAUUGCCAUUGAAACUGAAGGUCUUGAGUGUAAAUAAGGUAGGCGGAAUGUGUUGUGUAGCGGUGAAAUGCUUAGAUAUAACACAGAACACCAAUUGCGAAGGCAGCUUACUGGGAUACAACUGACGCUGGGGCACGAAAGCGUGGGGAUCAAACAGGAUUAGAUACCCUGGUAGUCCACGCAGUAAACGAUGAAUACUAACUGUAUGCGAUAUACUGUAUGUGGUAAAGCGAAAGCGUUAAGUAUUCCACCUGGGGAGUACGUUCGCAAGAAUGAA